AGAGCCAGCAUCGGGAAGAAUUCUGCCUAGUGUAAAAUUUGCUCACGUUUCCACUAAUUUACCCAGGCAAGAAGCUGGCUGAUGUCUGUCUGGAUUGAGGUGCUAGCCUUUCUUGAAUCCAGAAAGGUUCCUACUUUUAUUCGUGUGAUGAUGAUGGAAUGCUAGUAGUAGCGAAAUUGGGACAUGGCUGAUGUAUAAUCAGUGUUUGUGUGGAUUUUUCGCUUUACUCGUCGAUUUGUAUUUGGUCUGAAGAUCGUUUGUUCGACAUGAAUCAUUUGCCAACUGCCUGGCAUUCGAGAUUUGGCUAAAGAAAGUGAAGGUCAGCGUCAAAGCUAGUCUGACUCUCAAUUGUGUGCAGUGAAAUACUCAAAACAGCUUCGUCCUCCAUGCAACCUCUCCCUCGUGCUCGGCACUCAUCUCCUCUGCGCCAAUCACACGCCCGCCCUUCCCGGAGCCAAAUCCUCGCCGCCUGUGGCCCUGUUGUGGCAGUGGUACAUUGUUAGUAAUCUACAGGAUCUCUCUCUCGAUCUAUAUUACUCACGCAAGGAUUUGACUAUCAGUAUAAGAUACAAU
rnacentral:lncRNA from 1 species